rnacentral:rRNA from 1 species
AUCAACGCUGGCGGCGUGCCUAAUACAUGCAAGUCGAACGCGAAAGUCCCGCAAGGGGCAAGUAGAGUGGCAAACGGGUGAGUAACGCGUGGGCGACCUACCUUCGAGUGGGGGAUAACCUUCCGAAAGGAGGGCUAAUACCGCAUGACAUCCCGUGUUUGGAUACACGGACAUCAAAGUCGGGGAUCGCAAGACCUGACGCUUGGAGAGGGGCCCGCGUCCGAUUAGCUAGUUGGUGGGGUAACGGCCCACCAAGGCUUCGAUCGGUAUCCGGCCUGAGAGGGCGGACGGACACACUGGGACUGAGACACGGCCCAGACUCCUACGGGAGGCAGCAGUAGGGAAUUGUUCGCAAUGGGCGCAAGCCUGACGACGCAACGCCGCGUGGAGGAUGAAGACCUUCGGGUCGUAAACUCCUUUCGACCGAGAUGAAUACUCGCCGACCUAAUACGUUGGCGAGCC